rnacentral:rRNA from 1 species
UUUCCCUACGGGACGCAGCAGUGAGGAAUAUUGGUCAAUGGCCGAGAGGCUGAACCAGCCAAGUCGCGUGAGGGAAGAAUGUCCUAAGGAUUGUAAACCUCCUUUGUCGGGGAGCGAAAAGGCUCUGCGGAGUCGUAUUGAGAGUACCCGAAGAAAAAGCAUCGGCUAACUCCGUGCCAGCAGCCGCGGUAAUACGGAGGAUGCGAGCGUUAUCCGGAUUUAUUGGGUUUAA